UACAGAGGGGGCCAGCGUUGUUCGGAAUUCUUGGGCGUAAAGGGCGCGUAGGCGGCUUUGCGUGUCUUUCGUGAAAUCCCUCGGCUCAACUGAGGACGUGCGGAAGAAACUGCAGGGCUGGAGUCCGGGAGAGGAGGGUGGAAUUCCCAGUGUAGCGGUGAAAUGCGUAGAUAUUGGGAGGAACACCGGUGGCGAAGGCGGCCCUCUGGACCGGUACUGACGCUGAUGCGCGAAAGCGUGGGGAGCAAACGGG
rnacentral:rRNA from 1 species